rnacentral:rRNA from 1 species
AUACGUAGGGGGCGAGCGUUGUCCGGAAUGAUUGGGCGUAAAGGGCGCGUAGGCGGCCCGGCAAGUCUGGAGUGAAAGUCCUGUUUUUAAGAUGGGAAUUGCUUUGGAUACUGUCGGGCUUGAGUGCAGGAGAGGUAAGUGGAAUUCCCAGUGUAGCGGUGAAAUGCAUAGAUAUGACGAAGAACACCGAUUGCGUAGGCAGCUGACCAGACCGCAAAUGACGCUCAUGCACGAAAGUGCGGGGAUCGAACAGGAUUAGAUACCCUGGUAGUCCGCACAGUAAACGAUGAAUACUUGUUUUCGGCGAUAUAAUGUCCGAGGCAAAGCGAAAGCGAUAAGUAUUCCACCUGGGGAGUACGCCGGCAACGGUGAAACUCAAAGGAAUUGACGGGG